UUGGGGCUACAAUAGCGAUGAUAGAGAAAGUUGGGGCUACAGUAGCGAUGAUAGAGAAAAUGUUGGAGUGAAAAAUAUGAAAGAGAAAUGAUUGAGAGGAACGAGGGAGAUGAACAAAGGUUUAGGAGUUUCUUUUUUAGUUUUAAAAAUGAAAAUUAUUAAAAUACUUUUAACUUUAAAACUUAAAAUCCAUGAUAUAUUAAGGUAUUUUUGUUUAUUAAAAUACGGCACACA
rnacentral:lncRNA from 1 species